rnacentral:misc_RNA from 1 species
UUUUAAAAUCAAAAUCAAGGUACCUCUUUCAUAUCCAAAAUAUCCUUUUUUUGAAGUAGAAUACAACAUUUAUAUCUGAAUCAACUUGUUCUUGUUUUUAUGAUACAGAUACAACAGCAAAAAAGAGAAAAAAAAAAUCAUCUGAACUUCUACACCUUUUUAAUAUUUUGCAUGAAAAUAAUAGCUUCAAAAAAAGAGCUAUUACUUUUCUCUUUCCGGCUUAUGCAACCACUGACUUGCAAUUCUGUAGUUUACAUCAAGAUUCGAACAACAGCAAGACCAACAGCAGAUAUGGAAACAAGUGUACCUAUGCAGUACUUUAUCACAUCAUAUUUUGCAGCUUCCAAUUGGGCCCUUAAUGCGUGAAUUUCCUGAAUUAUAUUUUAUCAAAAAAAAUGUAAAAAAUGCAAUCAUCUAAACUUUACAAUUUGUCAAUUUCACUUGUAAUACUUACUCUAUCGAGUUUGUUGGUGAGGUUAGAGGUUUCAGCAUUCUGAUCUGCCAACUCAUCACGUAUCCUCCUUUGUUGUUUGAAAAACACGAGACAAUAAAACCAUGUCACUGAUUUAUCCUCAGAAGCAAGAAAUCAGUCAUAAGUAGUUUUCCUUACCCUCUUUCAAGAUUCAAAUCCAACCGCUGCCCAGCAGUAACUUUGUCAAUUUCAUGCCUGUAUCACAUCCAUUGUCUUAGCAUCAUGAAGAUCAUAAUAGAAGAAACAGAAAUUCACAUGGUAACAAACAAAAAUCUUGCAAGGUAACUCUAUAAAUCAAACCUCAAUUCACUGCGCAUCUUCUCGAUAUCAUUCCGAAGUUUUUCAGUCUCGUGUUGCAACAAAGAGAAAUGAUGUUCCUGUAUUAUAUAAUGUCCAGAUAUUUCAUAGAGGCAGGUUAGCAAAGAAAAAUUUAAUUAGACUCUAUAUCACUGCUAUACAUCAUAUAAGAUUCAAGAACAAAAGAAGUCGAGAGAUCAUGAAAUUGUCAACCCUAAUCUAAAUGUUCAGAGUGCAUUGAUGCUUUAGAGUCUGAUGUUCAAAGUGUCUUGUGGGUCUCUCUCUCCCUCUCUAUUCAUACCUCAUCUUUUUUAAUACUACCACUUCAGAGUCAAACAAAGUAACAAGGUGAGCUGAACUUUUGUUGAUAUGGUGCUGAUGUGAAUUAAAUAAUAUUGUCUUACAUAGUAGUUAGUACAGUGGUCCCACAUUACAUGAAGAUCAUUUUCCUUGUUAUAGCUCAAAAUAAAAGCUAAUAUUGUAAAAAGAAUAUAAAAAUAGUUAAAAAAAUAAAGAGGCUCUUCUUAAAUUUUCCAGACCUCAAAAAUUGAAACCAACAAUCUGCCUCCCCCACAUCCCUCACUGAAACUAAAACUUUAUCACCAACUCAGCUAAUUUGAUAAAUAUAAAAUAAAUAAGUUGUUGGCAAAAAAAUUCAAUAAAAUAAAAAGACAUGUAAAUUGAAAUUUUCACUAAAGGGUUUAUUCGUCUAUACACUAUAGGCCUUUGAUAAAUUUCAGAACUUGGAGGAAAAUAGGGGAAGAGAUAGAGAGAGAGAACAAAACAUAAAAUUUCCUAGAUACUUCUUUUGCCACAACAUAGCAUUUUCAACACAAUUUAUCAAGUGUCAAGAUUGGAAAUGAUUUAUAGCUGGACUCUUAAGUCUGCCAGCAUUAAUUUAGUGCUUUAGUGCAAGAUUAGCUGUUGAAGCAUUAUCUUUGUUCUCCCCAAAAAUUUUGUCAUAAAAAUAUAGCCAAAGGGCAACUCUUUUCACUGGAAACAUUGUGAAUGUAAAGCAAAAGCAGAAAGAGUGAAACAAGAUAUAAGACAUAAGACUAACCCUGGACUUGAAAUGUUUGAAGAAUGAAUCAUGCCAAUAUCACGAAGUACAUUUCAACACCUUAUUUUAUCAACUUGGAUUGCCGGGAUAGAAACUACUACACUUUAAGAAAUUCUAGUAUGUUCUAGUCCCAAGUGAAUAUACAUAGGUCCAGAGGAAACUUUAAAGCUCAGGCAUAAAACAAGGUUUUCCACCAUAGCAUUGGAAAUAUGGUUCAACAAUUGGCAUUUUCAAGGUUCCCCACCACCAUCAUUCUAAGGUAAAAGAUGUUAUAUUGAAUAAUGAUCGCUGUUGACCUGCAGCUAAAUCAGAAACUCUUAAACAAAUUUAAGGGAAACAGGAUCCUGCACAUUAAGAUACUACUAAACAUGGGAGCUACUCCUGGGAUUCCAUCAGGAUCAAAUCAAUUAAAGCAAGCCACCACAAAUUAGUCCAGUUUGUUCCUCUACUUUUAAAUAGUGUUGUACCUUAAGCUAUUUUUAGCAGGUUCCCACCACAGAGACAACAGAAGUGGACUAAUGGUCCUUAUACUAACAGACAAUGUCUGUUCCAUGCCAACUAACAAGAAACAGAGACCAUAUAUUUUAUGUGACUGCCAAAAACAUUUGGAACAGAAUCCUAUUACCUAGUGAUAUUAAAAGAUUUAGAAAGGAGUCUUUGCCUGAUUUACUUUGUUUAAUCCUAAACAUAGUUUCAUAUUGUAGACAACAGAGGGAUUAGCUUAGCAAAACUUGGGAAAUUUGAUCAUAUAUAUCCUUAAGCAAACUCAACAUAGGGAUUCAUUUGGAUGAAAAUCCUAUUACUCAGUAAAUGAUUAAAAGAAUAUCCAAAUUCCAGAAUUGAGAAUCCUCUAGAGCCACCGGCAAGUUGAAAGGAAAGGCAAUUCAAGGUCUUUAGCCAAGCUUGCUUUCCAUAGAUUCAUUUACAAUAUUUGGGUCAGAAAAAAUAUAUUCCAUUUUGGCAUUGCUGUUAAUUCUGCUUUGGACUAUCAUUGGAGAUGGGAUAUUCAUAUGCAUGAGCAUCAUGACCUUAAAAGGAUGAUGAUCUUUGCUAGUCAUAGGGACAUGUAGAUAUAUAAGACAGACUUUAAAGAUUAAGCAGUUGAGUAAGAUCCUAACUUUUUCCCCUCAAAUUGUCUCUGUUCUGAGGCUUGUAGGCUUGUAGCAGGCUCAGGACCCUACUCAGUAAAGGUUAUGUGUGCAUGGCAUGGCUUGGCUUGGAGAAACCAAGCCAAAAUGCAAUAAACAAUUUAUAAAAUUUUCAAAGUUAUUUUAACAGGUAAACGGAACUGAAAUACAAUGAUUUGAACAAGUUUUUAAAACAGUUUGAGCCCAUUCAAGAAACUUUAAAAAAAAAAAAAGAUGUGUAAUCUAAAAUUAUAUCCAACAUACUCCUAUAAUACUAAAUAAAACCUAAAAAUCGUGCAUAUAUCGUAAAAGCUAAAAGAAAACAAAAUGAAAUAAACAUGUCAAAUUGUUGUAAUCCUAAACCAGCCAAAAUGUCUAAUUCAAUGUCGUACUUUUUUAACGGUUUGAACUAAUUAAAAGCAAGUGCUCACACUCUUUGUUUAUUCAAUCUCAAAUUAUUUGAUUUGUCUGAUGUUUAUCCUAAGCAAAUAGCACUUAAUUACUGGUGAAGGUCAUAUUUGCGCAUGCUAACAAAUUCUGUAAGUAGAACAAUUGUUAUAACCAUUUUAGCUGAACCCUUCACCUUGGACUACCCAUAGAUAAUCCCAUGGUGUGUAUGUGCAUAAAUUAUGCUAAUUUAUAGCAUGAUUGAUUUCAAUUAGCAAAAUUUGUAAAAUUCAGGUGCAGAAAAAUCAAUAAAAUACAUAUGAAACUUAAAAAUUACUUGAUUUCAUCCAACAUGUUUUAAUUGUGGCUAAACUGCUAAAGACGAAACAUUUUUAAGCGUAACAAUAGAAUUAAAAACAAGU